rnacentral:rRNA from 1 species
AUUGAACGCUGGCGGCAUGCCUUACACAUGCAAGUCGAACGGCAGCACGGGUGCUUGCACCUGGUGGCGAGUGGCGAACGGGUGAGUAAUACAUCGGAACAUGUCCUGUAGUGGGGGAUAGCCCGGCGAAAGCCGGAUUAAUACCGCAUACGAUCUACGGAUGAAAGCGGGGGACCUUCGGGCCUCGCGCUAUAGGGUUGGCCGAUGGCUGAUUAGCUAGUUGGUGGGGUAAAGGCCUACCAAGGCGACGAUCAGUAGCUGGUCUGAGAGGACGACCAGCCACACUGGGACUGAGACACGGCCCAGACUCCUACGGGAGGCAGCAGUGGGGAAUUUUGGACAAUGGGCGAAAGCCUGAUCCAGCAAUGCCGCGUGUGUGAAGAAGGCCUUCUGGUUGUAAAGCACUUUUGUCCGGAAAGAAAUCCUUGGCUCUAAUACAGUCGGGGGAUGACGGUACCGGAAGAAUAAGCACCGGCUAACUACGUG